rnacentral:rRNA from 1 species
UACAGAGGGGGCAAGCGUUGUUCGGAAUUACUGGGCGUAAAGGGCGCGUAGGCGGCCCGCUAAGUCGAACGUGAAAUCCCCGGGCUCAACCCGGGAACUGCGUCCGAUACUGGUGGGCUUGAAUCCGGGAGAGGGAUGCGGAAUUCCAGGUGUAGCGGUGAAAUGCGUUGAUAUCAUCUGGAGUACCGGAGGCGAAGGCGGCUCACUGGGGCUUUUCUGACGCUGAGGAACGAAAGCCAGGGUAGCGAACGGG